rnacentral:rRNA from 1 species
GGCGGAGGCAGGGCGAGCCUGAUCCGCCUGCCGCGUGUGUGAAGAAGGUCUUCGGAUUGUAAAGCACUUUAAGUUGGGAGGAAGGGCAUUAACCUAAUACGUUAGUGUUUUGACGUUACCGACAGAAUAAGCACCGGCUAACUCUGUGCCAGCAGCCGCGGUAAUACGA